GGGACAACAGACGGAAACGACUGCUAAUACCGAAUAAGUUCCAAGAGCCGCAUGGCCCAUGGAAGAAAAGGUGGCCUCUACCUGUAAGCUAUCGCCUGAAGAGGGGUUUGCGUCUGAUUAGCUGGUUGGAGGGGUAACGGCCCACCAAGGCGACGAUCAGUAGCCGGUCUGAGAGGAUGAACGGCCACACUGGAACUGAGACACGGUCCAGACUCCUACGGGAGGCAGCAGUGGGGAAUCUUCCGCAAUGGGCGAAAGCCUGACGGAGCAACGCCGCGUGAGUGAUGACGGCCUUCGGGUUGUAAAACUCUGUGACCCGGGACGAAAAGGCAGAGUGCGAAGAACAAACUGCAUUGACGGUACCGGAAAAGCAAGCCACGGCUAACUACGUGCCAGCAGCCGCGGUAAUACGUAGGUGGCAAGCGUUGUCCGGAAUUAUUGGGCGUAAAGCGCGCGCAGGCGGCUUCCCAAGUCCCUCUUAAAAGUGCGGGGCUUAACCCCGUGGUGGGAAGGAAACUGGGAAGCUGGAGUAUCGGAGAGGAAAGUGGAAUUCCUAGUGUAGCGGUGAAAUGCGUAGAGAUUAGGAAGAACACCGGUGGCGAAGGCGACUUUCUGGACGAAAACUGACGCUGAGGCGCGAAAGCGUGGGGAGCAAACAGGAUUAGAUACCCUGGUAGUCCACGCCGUAAACGAUGGAUACUAGGUGUAGGAGGUAUCGACCCCUCCUGUGCCGGAG
rnacentral:rRNA from 1 species